rnacentral:pre_miRNA from 12 species
UGUAAACAUCCUUGACUGGAAGCUGGGAUUUUGUCAGUGUGGGCUUUCAGUCGGAUGUUUGCA